UGUUGCACUAGAGUACGAAACAUGCGCAGUGACCGAUUGUUCUGUUCUACUUUAUUGUAAUAAAUAGUUAUAAUUAAGUUGCCUACGUCCUCCUUUUCCUCCGGCACUACAGUUUUAUGGUUGACCGUGCUCGUUGACCAUGCUCGUGAGAUGCAUCUAUUGUAAAUACCAUCUGAUUUCUUCGGAUAAGGUGGCGAGAAGGCUACCCCAAAGAAAGCCUAGAAGAGGAACAACAGUGUGUUGUCAGAAGAGAGAGAAGUCCGGCCAGGUGAGUCUGCUCACCUGAAGAGACAGACUCUGAGGAGGAGCAGCUCUGGACCUCCGGAUUGACCGCACGCUGACCAUCUACGGCAUCAGCCAGGACAACGACGCCAAGGCGUUGUCGCCCGGCGCCAUCCAGGUGUCCUGGAAGGAGCCGGAGCACAACACACAGGACAUCAUCGGCUACGUGCUGCACAUCCGGCGGUCCUCAGGCAGCACACCGCGCCCCUCUCCCCAGCCCAGGGCACACAUGCCCGGGCUGGCCUGGCGCCCAGAGGGCCCCCACUCUCCACGGCCUCCAGUACAAGACCGAGGCACAGACACCUCCCCAGAACCGAGAACAGCGCCGGCUCCACGCAGGCCAGCGCCCGCCUCACCGUGCUGUGGGCCGACGGGCUCCCCGGGGCCCCCACACAGGUGCGGGCCCAGGCGUUGUCGCCCGGCGCCAUCCAGGUGUCCUGGAAGGAGCCGGAGCAGAACACACAGGACAUCAUCAGCUACGUGCUGCACAUCCGGCUGUCCUCAGGUGUUGUCGUCCCUCCUCUAAGCUUGGGGGGAGAUGGGCCUCCCCGGGUCCCCAAGCUUGACGGACAUCCGUUUAGCCGUGGCCACAUACAACUUUGACUCAGAGAUAGGCUUUCCCAAAGAAAGCCAAGAAGAAGAACAACAGUGUGUUGUCAGAGGAGAGAGAAGUCCGGCCAGGUGAGUCUGCUCACCUGAAGAGACAGACUCUGAGGAGGAGCAGCUCUGGACCUCCGGAUUGACCGCACGCUGACCAUCUACGGCAUCAGCCAGGACAACGACGCCAAGGCGUUGUCGCCCGGCGCCAUCCAGGUGUCCUGGAAGGAGCCGGAGCACAACACACAGGACAUCAUCGGCUACGUGCUGCACAUCCGGCGGUCCUCAGAACCGAGAACAGCGCCGGCUCCACGCAGGCCAGCGCCCGCCUCACCGUGCUGUGGGCCGACGGGCUCCCCGGGGCCCCCACACAGGUGCGGGCCCAGGCGUUGUCGCCCGGCGCCAUCCAGGUGUCCUGGAAGGAGCCGGAGCAGAACACACAGGACAUCAUCAGCUACGUGCUGCACAUCCGGCUGUCCUCAGGUGUUGUCGUCCCUCCUCUAAGCUUGGGGGGAGAUGGGCCUCCCCGGGUCCCCAAGCUUGACGGACAUCCGUUUAGCCGUGGCCACAUACAACUUUGACUCAGAGAUUGGCAGGAGGGACCA